UUAUCGUUUCCCCGUCGCUGAAAAUCAGCGAUCGGGUUUAGCGAUCCGACUC
rnacentral:ncRNA from 1 species